GCUUAUCACCAUUCCAGAUUGAAUAUACCCGAUCUCGUCUGAUCUCGGAAGUCAAGCAAUCUCGGGAUUGGUUAGUACUUGGAUGGGUGACCGCUUGGGAAUACCAAGUGUGAUAAGCA
rfam:Ciona savignyi cont_18854, whole genome shotgun sequence.